rnacentral:rRNA from 1 species
UACGACUACAUAUCAGGCAUAUCAAUAAGCGGAGGAAAAGAAACUAACAAGGAUUCCCCUAGUAACGGCGAGUGAAGCGGGAAGAGCUCAAAUUUGAAAUCUUAAAGGGUUUCCCUUUACGAAUUGUAGUUUAAAGAAGCGUUUUCUGUUGGAGUUUCGGUAAAAGUUCUUUGGAAUAGGACAUCAUAGAGGGUGAGAAUCCCGUAUUUGACCGUUACUUUCCAGCUGUGUGAUACACUUUCAAAGAGUCGGAUUGUUUGGGAAUGCAGUCCAAGAUGGGUGGUAAAUUUCAUCUAAAGCUAAAUAUUGGCGAGAGACCGAUAGCGAACAAGUACCGUGAGGGAAAGAUGAAAAGAACUUUGAAAAGAGAGUUAAACAGUACGUGAAAUUGUCAAAAGGGAAGCGCUUGACACCAGUGUUGUUUCUACGAAAAUCAAUUUAUGAUGGCUUGAUGCUAAGCUUUAUGACUUUAUCCGCUUGUUGUUUAGUUUUCUUGUCUUUGUGAAUGCACUUUUCGUGGAACAAGUCAACAUCAAUUUCUUUUGCUGUAAAAGGGUAAGAGGAAGGUGGCUUCGGCUUCGGUUGAAGUGUUUAUAGCCUUUUAUCUCUGCAGUCGGAGAGAUUGAGGUCUGCAGCGUAGACUCUUCGGGGUUAGAUACGUCGGUGCUAAGCUAUAGCUUUUCAUAGACAACUUGUUGACUAUGUUUAGUCAUGUGGCUUACCCGCUGGCGCUAUUUUACCUACGCUUAGGAUGUUGACUGAUAUGUAGUCGUA